UGAUGUUACAAGAUUGACAGCAAAACCUCUAAAAUCUUUGCAAAAUAACCUUUAUAUCGACGUAUACAGGAAAAUGCUUCGAUUUAUUAAGCCAGUUUUCGAUGCUGGAGCAAAGGUCUUGUUCGUCCUCCAAUCUCUCGAAGGGCCCAGAAAAAUAUCUCGGCGCACUUGGCAACUUCAUUCACUUUCGAGUUAUCAAGGCCUUUAGCUGCCCUUUCUUCACGAAAGUCCUUCGUGAAGUACAAGUAAGCCGAGAGAGGACGUUUGAUCUUGGGUCCAUCAUCAGUUUUGGUCUUCUUCUUGGAUCUACCCUUGUUGGUUUGCGCUGCACGCUUUCUCUUUGCAGCUGCAUGCACCAAGAAAAUAAAAUUUYGGAUUAAAACUCGAAAUUAUAUCGAAAUUCUAGAGUGGCAAUUAAAUUGAAGCAAACGGU